AUUCCCAUCCUGGCUAAAGACGAACGCUGGCGUCCNGCUUAACACAUGCAAGUCGAACGGAAAGGCCCUGCUUUUGUGGGGUGCUCGAGUGGCGAACGGGUGAGUAACACGUGAGUAACCUGCCCUUGACUUUGGGAUAACUUCAGGAAACUGGGGCUAAUACCAGAUAGGAGCUCCUGCUGCAUGGUGGGGGUUGGAAAGUUUCGGCGGUUGGGGAUGGACUCGCGGCUUAUCAGCUUGUUGGUGGGGUAGUGGCUUACCAAGGCUUUGACGGGUAGCCGGCCUGAGAGGGUGACCGGCCACAUUGGGACUGAGAUACGGCCCAGACUCCUACGGGAGGCAGCAGUGGGGAAUAUUGCACAAUGGGCGGAAGCCUGAUGCAGCAACGCCGCGUGCGGGAUGACGGCCUUCGGGUUGUAAACCGCUUUCGCCCGUGACGAAGCGUGAGUGACGGUAAUGGGUAAAGAAGCACCGGCUAACUACGUGCCAGCAGCCGCGGUGAUACGUAGGGUGCGAGCGUUGUCCGGAUUUAUUGGGCGUAAAGGGCUCGUAGGUGGUUGAUCGCGUCGGAAGUGUAAUCUUGGGGCUUAACCCUGAGCGUGCUUUCGAUACGGGUUGACUUGAGGAAGGUAGGGGAGAAUGGAAUUCCUGGUGGAGCGGUGGAAUGCGCAGAUAUCAGGAGGAACACCAGUGGCGAANGCGGNUCUCUGGGCCUUUCCUGACGCUGANGAGCGAAAGCGUGGGGAGCGAACAGGCUUAGAUACCCUGGUUAGUCCACGCUGUAAACGGUGGGUACUAGGUGU
rnacentral:rRNA from 1 species